rnacentral:rRNA from 1 species
GUAGGUGGCAAGCGUUGUCCGGAAUUAUUGGGCGUAAAGCGCGCGCAGGCGGUUCUUUAAGUCUGAUGUGAAAGCCCACGGCUCAACCGUGGAGGGUCAUUGGAAACUGGAGAACUUGAGUACAGAAGAGGAAAGCGGAAUUCCACGUGUAGCGGUGAAAUGCGUAGAGAUGUGGAGGAACACCAGUGGCGAAGGCGGCUUUCUGGUCUGUAACUGACGCUGAGGCGCGAAAGCAUGGGGGAGCAAACAGGAUUAGAUACCCUGGUAGUCCACGCCGUAAACGAUGAGUGCUAAGUGUUAGGGGGUUUCCGCCCCUUAGUGCUGCAGCUAACGCAUUAAGCACUCCGCCUGGGAGUACGGCCGCAAGGCUG